rnacentral:rRNA from 1 species
AAGUCGUAACAAGGUUUCCGUAGGUGAGCCUGCGGAAGGAUCAUUAAAGAGUAAGGGUCUUCUAGGCCCGAUCUCCCAACCCUUUGUUUAUUGAACCUCUGUUGCUUCGGCGGAUCCGUCUCACGGCCGCCGGAGGACCGCUGAAAGGCGUCCUCUAGCCAGCAUCCGCCGAUAGCCAACCACUUAAACUCUGAAUAAAUCGUGUCAUAUGUCUAAGUCUAUGAUUAAAUUAAAGCAAAACUUUCAACAACGGAUCUCUUGGUUCUGGCAUCGAUGAAGAACGCAGCGAAAUGCGAUAAGUAAUGCGAAUUGCAGAAUUCCAGUGAGUCAUCGAAUCUUUGAACGCACAUUGCGCCCUUUGGUAUUCCGAAGGGCAUGCCUGUUCGAGCGUCAUUAUCACCCCUCAAGCCCCGUGCUUGGUGUUGGACGGCUUGGUCGCGUCACCGCGACUCCUCCUAAAGACAAUGACGGCGGCCUGUGGUUCCCCCGGUACACUGAGCUUUUAAUUGAGCACGUAUUGGAUAAGGGCACCCGGGACCCGGUCUUCUCCCUUCACCGGGAAAUUUUUCAAUGGUUGACCUCGGAUCAGGUAGGAAUACGCGCUGAACUUA